rnacentral:tRNA from 1 species
UCUUGAGUGGCUUAGUGGGUUAAAGUGCGGGUGUAGCGAUAUGAAAUCGUGGGUUCGAAUCUCACCAAAAGAA